rnacentral:rRNA from 1 species
UGCCAGCAGCCGCGGUAAUACGGAGGGGGGUAGCGUUGUUCGGAAUUACUGGGCGUAAAGCGCACGUAGGCGGAUUAGUAGGUUAGGGGUGAAAUCCCGGGGCUCAACCCCGGAACUGCCUCUAAUACUGCUAGUCUUGAGUUCGAGAGAGGUGAGUGGAAUUCCGAGUGUAGAGGUGAAAUUCGUAGAUAUCAGGAGGAACACCGAUGGCGAAGGCAUCUCUCUGGACCGAUAUUGACGCUGAGGCGCGAAGGCGUGGGGAGCAAACAGGAUUAGAUA